UAGGGAAUCUUCGGCAAUGGACGGAAGUCUGACCGAGCAACGCCGCGUGAGUGAAGAAGGUUUUCGGAUCGUAAAGCUCUGUUGUUAGAGAAGAACGUUGGUAGGAGUGGAAAAUCUACCGAGUGACGGUAACUAACCAGAAAGGGACGGCUAACUACGUGCCAGCAGCCGCGGUAAUACGUAGGUCCCGAGCGUUUCCCGGAUUUAGUGGGCGUAAAGCGAGCGCAGGCGGUUCUUUAAGUCUGAAGUUAAAGGCAGUGGCUUAACCAUUGUACGCUUUGGAAACUGGAGGACUUGAGUGCAGAAGGGGAAAGUGGAAUUCCAUGUGUAGCGGUGAAAUGCGUAGAUAUAUGGAGGAACACCGGUGGCGAAAGCGGCUCUAUGGUCUGUAACUGACGCUGAGGCUCGAAAGCGUGGGGAGCAAACAGG
rnacentral:rRNA from 1 species